GGGCUGUUUUUGACAUAACAAUGCACACAUAUCGGGUACUAGCACCAUAAAGUCAUGCUAAAUUACUGAAAUCUUCACAAUUCUAGCAUUUUAGUUAAUUUUUAGACGGUUUUCGUGUAAAACGAAAGUGGCCGCAUUCGUGUUCAUCCUUAAUAUUGAAAUGUAUGUUGUAUUUUAUGAUAAUACAUAACAUAUAUAAAGGUUGAGAAUGAACACGGAUGCGGCCACUUUCAUUUUUGACAAAAAACAUCUGAAAAGUGACAUUUUUCG
rnacentral:lncRNA from 1 species